UACGUAGGGUGCGAGCGUUGUCCGGAAUUAUUGGGCGUAAAGAGCUUGUAGGCGGUUUGUCGCGUCUGCUGUGAAAAUCCGGGGCUCAACCCCGGACUUGCAGUGGGUACGGGCAGACUAGAGUGUGGUAGGGGAGACUGGAAUUCCUGGUGUAGCGGUGAAAUGCGCAGAUAUCAGGAGGAACACCAGUGGCGAAGGCGGCUUCCUGGACCGGUAAUGACGCUGAGGCGCGAAAAGC
rnacentral:rRNA from 1 species